AAAGUCGUAACAAGGUCUCCGUUGGUGAACCAGCGGAGGGAUCAUUACAAGAAGCGCCGAAAGGCCGCUUAUAACCAUCGCGAACCUAUCCAUCAGCGUUGCUUCGGCGGGAGCGCUCGCGGGACCGGACUCUGUCCGGGCCCCGGGCCGUGGGCCCACCCCUCUCGGGUGUGGGGCCGCCCGCCGGAGGUACACGAAACUCUGUAUCUUAGUGGUAUCUCUGAGUAAACAAGCAAAUAAGUUAAAACUUUCAACAACGGAUCUCUUGGUUCUG
rnacentral:misc_RNA from 1 species